CCCAUUUUUGUCAGUAAUAUACAUUACAAACCCUAUUUGAAUCGGAUGAGUGCCUGGACACUGAGGUGAUUGCAUGACAAUCUACUGGAAUUGUUGACUAAAAGUUAUUUGCACUCAAUACCGUGCUGGGAAGAACAACAAAUACUUGUUUGGUCUAUUUAAAUAACUUGUAAACAUCAGCAUAGAUACAUGUUAAACAUAGGGGCGGUAUAUAAAAAAAUCUAUUAUGAAGAGGUUGGCUUUAUUUAGUUGAUCAUCGGAACUGAACGAAAGUUCGGACCACAGCGUAUAGUCCUUUUUACGAUCUUUUACCAAAGAGAGAGGGCGAGCGAGCGAGCUAUAAAAAAUGGCAAAACGAUUUUAAAAUAAAAAAAUAGUUAAAUUUGUACACCACCGAGGUAAAUCGCAUUAAAAUAAAAAAAAUAAAAAAACAUUUUGUGCAAAGUUGGCUAUAUAAUGCACAAACCGGAUAGACAUUUGUCACCCAAUGAAAAAAAUAUACCAUACAUAAACAAUCGAGCCCCAACACCUCAACAGCA
rnacentral:lncRNA from 1 species